UAGUCCACGCCGUAAACGAUGAAUACUAGGUGUUGGGGGUCGAACCUCGGUGCCGCAGCUAACGCAUUAAGUAUUCCGCCUGGGGAGUACGCACGCAAGUGUGAAACUCAAAGGAAUUGACGGGACCCGCACAAGCAGCGGAGCAUGUGGUUUAAUUCGAAGCAACGCGAAGAACCUUACCAGGUCUUGACAUCCAAUUGACCAUCUUUUAAUCAAGAUUUUUCCUUCGGGAACAAUUGAGACAGGUGGUGCAUGGUUGUCGUCAGCUCGUGUCGUGAGAUGUUGGGUUAAGUCCCGCAACGAGCGCAACCCUUGUCUUUAGUUGCCAUCAGAUAAUGCUGGGCACUCUAGAGAGACUGCCGGUGAUAAACCGGAGGAAGGUGGGGAUGACGUCAAAUCAUCAUGCCCCUUAUGAUCUGGGGCUACACACGUGCUACAAUGGUCGGUACAACGGGGCAGCGAAAGAGCGAUCUGGGAGCAAAUCCUAAUAAGCCGAUCUC
rnacentral:rRNA from 1 species